rnacentral:precursor_RNA from 8 species
UUGCUGACGGCUCAUGCUGGACUGUGGAGCUCAUGUCAGAUGUGAGAUGAGCGUGAUCAGAUUAUACCGCAGCACAUCUCCACUCAUCUGUCAUGAGCUUCACCUUUUACAGAAGCUUCAUUCAUUUC